rnacentral:lncRNA from 1 species
UAAACAUACCUCCCAGUAUCCUCCAUAACUAUAUGAGUAUAGAAUCUUUCGUACUUAUAAGUUGUUUUCGAUAAUGGAGCUUCCGAAUUGAUGAUCCAAACUGUUAAAUAUAAUCUAGAAUAUUUGAAACUUGUAGAAAAUAAAUUUCGUAAUUUAUUGAAAUUAUAAGAAAGUUUAUCAAGCAGACAUAAAAUAAACGGUCAAAAUCGAAUGACUUUCUAAAAAUUGAUAAUCAUAUACUUCAAUUUAAGAUUGGAGUUAUUGAUCUUUAUUUAGAUAAUGAAUAGAAUUUUCUAUAAAAAAUUCAACCGAUUCUAAUUCUUUUACACUAUUAAGCGAGCAAAUAUUCCAUAAUGGCUUUUAAAAAUUAUCAAUUCUGAAAUCUUUUGAUCAUAAGGUAAUUAAUGUCAAAAAAUUAUAAAAUUUAAUUUUUAAAAGUUUCGAAUGCUCUAGAUAAUAUUUAACGAUAUAAAUCGUCAAUUCGAAAGCUCUAUCAUCGAAAACGAUUUAUGAAUACAAAGGCGAUCGCACUUAACAGAGUAUAGUAGCUGAACUCAUAUAACAAUAUUAUUAUUAUUAUAUCCCAAACACUUUUAUUAAUCCUUAAGCAUAACAAUUAAACUCUAAAUAAAUCCUAAUCUCUCUGUAUGUGUAUGUCAUCACAUCAACAAUAUUGUAAGGUAUCCAAAAAUGGACUGCUC